GUAUUCCUUGAAUCAUUUUAGUAGUUUGCCAUUUCGUUGUUUUCUUAGGGCGAUCAUUACAACCUGCUUGAGUGACCAAUUUACAUGCCCCUGAAUUCUGUACAUAGAAGCAUUAUGUUUUCAGUUUUAUUUCCAAUAAAUAACUUUUAUUUCCCUGCCCAGCAUUCAUUGCCUUUUUGAGUUAUGGUUCAUAUUGGACUCCGACCUUUCAGGAACUGUCCAAAAUGGCUCCCAAAUGGUUCCAGUUAGAACUGAUGGUUUAGUGGGCCAAGUCUUACCUAGGGACAUUGAAAAGCAUCUGUCACUUUUCUGACCCACUUUUCCAAAAGCUUAUCCCCAUCAGUUCAGUAUGUCAGUGCAAUGAAAGGGUAGGAUGUUAUAUGCAGAUGUGGAGCUUUCAUUAUGGAUGGUUGCUUUCCAAUGCUGUAUAAAAAUGUUGAAAUAAAAAGACAUGAGUCCGAGAGAGACCAUUCUUGGGACUGAAUGCAAGAAUUACAUCAUGUUGGUUUCCUGUUACAUUUUCUCACAUAAUGACAUUCAUUGCACAGAUAUUCUUAACUAGGCAUAUGGGGGAUUCAUAGGUUGAACAUACUCCCACUCUGAGAGAGAGUACAGUACAAUCCGAUAGAGGAAAUAUAAUAUAGUAAAUAGAUAUUAACAAUCUAAGAUGUGGGCCAUAGGUGGUAUCAGGAGAGAGAUCUACAGAAAAACUAGAGAAAUAGACCUAACUUCUGUCCAGGAAAGAUAAAAAAAAGUUCUGUGGAUGAGGCAAAAUCCAUCCUGCACAGCUGUAGGAAUUUCCUGGCAGGUAUAGACUAUGUUAUAAUUAGAAUUCAAUAUAACAAGGAUCAUUGUUAUUAACAGCAAUAACAAUGAUGGUAAUGAUAAUGAUUACAGGUAACAUUUAUUAAAUAUUUACCAUGUGAUGGGCAUUGUUCUAGAAAAUUUAUAUGUAUGCAAGUCAUUAUUGUUAAAAUAUAAAACACAGUUAAGUAUGAACGUAUUUUCUGUCAGAGUAAGUAAUAGAAAAAGGAAGAGGACAACAAAUUGAUGUGGUUGAUAAAUAUAAUAAAUUUAAUUUGUAAGUAUUUUACUAUUUCAUAUAAUCAGGAAAAUACCUAUGCACUGUGGGAAAUAAUGUCAUUGUUUUAUACUGACAAUCAAAAACCUCUGUAAUACAGAUAAUUAACAUAUGCUAGGAAGUAAAAAUAAAUUGGGUGUACAGAAUAAUAUUUGGGGAGUGUGUGAUGUGGAGCUAUUCCAAGCAUAACAUCAGCUUGCAUUUGUUUUUCUUUUACAUGUACACCCGCACAACAGCCUCAUGAGUUUAAAAAUGUGUCUGUGCAGUUUUACUGUCUUGGUUCUGGAGUACCAUACUCAGUGAAAUCCUAGUUAUCAGCAUUAGGCUUCAGAUGUUGCCAGUGCAGGCCAAGCAUCUUUUAUUAAGAAUCUUCUUUAGCAUUCCUCCUCCCAGAAAUUUCUAACCUCCCCCCCCCGAUUUUCAUUGUUCUUUCUGUUCACUAUGAGGUCAAGUUUUCAUCUCCUUUAAUUUAGUUUUUUUGAAAUCUGUAUUCCAGAAUGAGUCUGCCCUGUAAUUCCAUGUGUUAUCUCAUGACAAUUCUUUGGGUUCUUCCCCAGAAUAAUUUCUGAGUUGAUACGCUUGUGUAAGAGUUAGUUACACGAUACCAAUAAAGUCCUGAGAGGAAACAGAGGUCUGGAUAGAAAUGCAGAGGGUAGUGAGCGACUCCCUGAAGAAAAAGGUCUGUGGAGAGGUGGGUAACAAAAAGCUGGAAAGUUUUGGAUAGUGAUUCUGCCAGUGUUAGCCAACUGUGAGAAGAAACUAGAACCCACUAGAGAAAUAACACGUUUAGAGAAUGACUGGAAGCUCUCAAGGCCCUGGAGCCCCGAGUUGCAAACACCUUGUGUGGGCAGAGUCCAGGGAAGCCUGGAGUCAGGGCUGGAUGGUAACAAGAACCAAAGAGAUGAGAAACAGCCCCAGGUGAGAAGUUCUGGGUCCUGUCCUGCAUCUCUGGCAAAGAAGACAGGAUUCUGGUUUGAGUUAAGGUGAAAAAUGAGGUUGAUGCCUAUCUUUUUAGGACCACGAGAGGCGCCAGUGUCUGGAGCCGUGGCACCGGCAUCUGCUGACACUGCUGCCUCCAGCAAGUUCUUUCGUCCUCUUCCCUUCUUCACCCCUACACCUUGGAGGUGAACUUCUCACCCGAGGGCGGUAAAGACUAGUUUGAAAAUGGAGAGCCAAGAACCAGCAGAGCCUUCUCAGAAUGGCAGACAGCAUAUUAUUUCAGAGGACAUCUGCUGAAAAUGAUUAUUAAUUUCAGAAGGAGAAUGGGUCAAGCUUGAAAAAACAACAUACAUGGACCCUACUGGUAAAACUAGAACUUGGGAAUCAGUGAAACGUACGACCAGGAAAGAACAGAGUGCUGAUGGUGUAGCGGUCAUCCCGGUGCUACAGAGAACACUUCAUUACGAGUGUAUCGUUUUGGUGAAACAGUUCUGACCACCCAUGGCGGCUACUGCAUAGAGUUCCCUGCAGGUCUCAUAGAUGAUGGUGAAACCCCAGAAGCAGCUGCUCUUCGGGAGCUUGAGGAAGAAACUGGCUACAAAGGGGAUGUUGCCGAAUGUUCUCCAGCUGUCUGUAUGGACCCAGGCUUGACGAAGUGUACCACACACAUUGUGACAGUAACCAUUAACGGAGAUGAUGCCGAAAACCUAAGGCCCAAGCCAAAGCCAGGGGAUGCAGAAUUUGUGGAAGUCAUUUCUUUACCCAGGAAUGAUCUACUGCAGAGACUUGAUGCUCUGGAAGCUGAAGAACAUGUUACAGUGGAUGCUAGAGGCUAUUCCUACGCUCUAGCGCUGAAACAUGCAAAUGCAAAGCCAUUUGAAGUGCCGUUCCUGAAAUUUUAAGACCAAAGAUGACGCUGGCCACUUUUGUAAACGAGACCACCAGGCCUUCUUCACUAAGACUUUGUCUUCAACUUAGCUUAAUGUAGAUUUGAAAUUAGCUUUUUCAUAAAAUAAAAGCAGCACAGAAU